GCCCGGACUUCGCCGUCGCCGGCUCGGGGCAGCGGCCUUCGGGCAGCCGGAGCUGGCCGCCUCGGCCGGGAAGGAGGCGCACGCGGGGCGGUGAUGGUGGAAGAGCCGGCCGGGGCUGGCAGCCGGGCUCCCACCCGCCGGCGCACGGCCGCGGUCCGGCCUGGCGCUCCCCGCCAGGGGGCGGCGCGGCGCGGGGCGAGCGGGCGGCGGCGGGCGGCGGCGCGACGGCGGGGACCGUAGGGAAGCCGGCUUCGAGCGACCCGCCUCACCUGGGCGAGUCGUCGCCCCCCGACGCCUCCUGCAGUCCAGGGUCCGCCGAGGCCGCCUGGUGUGCACCUCCAACUUCCCACGUUUGCUAUGUUGCCCUUUGGAGACAAAACAAGAGAAAUGGUCAAUGCAUGGUUUGCUGAGAGAGUACACACCAUCCCUGUGUGCAAGGAAGGAGUCAAAGGCCACGCGGAAUCCUGCUCUUGUCCCUUGCAGCCAAGUACCCGUGCAGAGAGCAGUGUCCCUGGAACACCAACCAGGAAGAUCUCUGCCUCCGAAUUCGAUCGGCCACUUAGACCCAUUGUUAUCAAGGAUUCUGAGGGGACUGUGAGCUUCCUCUCUGACUCAGACAAGAAGGAACAGAUGCCUCUAACCUCCCCCCGGUUUGAUAAUGAUGAAGGGGACCAGUGCUCGAGACUCUUGGAAUUAGUGAAAGAUAUUUCUAGUCACUUGGAUGUCACAGCCUUAUGUCACAAAAUUUUCUUGCAUAUCCAUGGACUCAUCUCCGCCGACCGCUACUCCUUAUUCCUCGUCUGUGAGGACAGCUCCAAUGACAAGUUUCUUAUCAGCCGCCUCUUUGAUGUUGCAGAAGGUUCAACACUGGAAGAAGCUUCAAAUAACUGUAUCCGCUUAGAGUGGAACAAAGGCAUCGUGGGACACGUGGCCGCUCUUGGCGAGCCCUUGAACAUCAAGGACGCCUAUGAGGACUGCCCUGGCAGAAGCCAGCAAGGAGAACAGUAACUCAGAUUUCUACACAAGAAUGCAAGUUGACUAUCCUAGCUACAUCCAUUCCACGUCUGCCUUAGAGAGGGGGACAGGGAAGGACCACGACCAUCCCCAACUCCAGAGUCCUUUGAAGAACCUCCCUUCAAGCUCCAGUCUCCCUGGAGGCACAGCAAGCUUACCUGCGGUUCUGAAGGCCUGCUCCUCCCACCCUGCCGAUCUUUUUCCCAAGGCCGGCAGCCAUCCUAGGAAUAGCAACACACACCUUCUUAAGUCCCUAAAAUGUUCAUCUUCUAUGAACAGUGGUAUUUUGGACUGCUCUUGGAAAGUAAAUAUUACAAUUUCUUAUUAAUUUAAUAGAGAUUAAUGAUAACUCAAAAUUAAAAAGAAUCUUGACUCAGAUCAGGAAGAUCCCCUAGAGAAGGGAAUGGCUACCCGCUCCAGUAUUUUUGCCAGGAAAAUACCAUGAACAGAGGAGCCUGGCAGGCUACAGUUCAUGGGUUACAAAGAGUCAGAUAUGACUGAGCGACUAUCACAAUAAGAAUCUUAAUGCAAAAUUCCAAAAACAAAAUGCUGUGCUGUGCUUACUUAUUUGCUCAGUCGUGUCCGACUUUUUGCGACCCCAUGGACUGUAGCCCACCAGGCUCCUCCAUCUAUGGGAUUUCCCAGGCAAGAAUACUGGAGUGGUUUGCCAUGCCCUUCUCCAGGUGAUCUUCCCAACCCAGGCAUCCAACUGAGGUCUCCCUCAUUGCAGGUGGAUUCUUGACCAGGGAAGCCCUGAAAUCUAUCUUAUUAAUACCUUUUUAAUUAUACAAAA